AUUGAACGCUGGCGGCAUGCCUAACACAUGCAAGUCGAACGGCAGCACGGCAGUAGCAAUACUGUGGGUGGCGAGUGGCGGACGGGUGAGGAAUACGUCGGAAUCUGCCCAGUCGUGGGGGAUAACUAGCCGAAAGGUUAGCUAAUACCGCAUACGACCGAGAGGUGAAAGCGGGGACCGCAAGGCCUCGCGCGAUUGGAUGAGCCGACGUCGGAUUAGCUAGUUGGUGGGGUAAAGGCCCACCAAGGCGACGAUCCGUAGCUGGUCUGAGAGGAUGAUCAGCCACACUGGAACUGAGACACGGUCCAGACUCCUACGGGAGGCAGCAGUGGGGAAUAUUGGACAAUGGGCGCAAGCCUGAUCCAGCAAUGCCGCGUGUGUGAAGAAGGCCUC
rnacentral:rRNA from 1 species